rnacentral:rRNA from 1 species
UACGUAGGGUGCGAGCGUUAAUCGGAAUUACUGGGCGUAAAGCGUGCGCAGGCGGUUCGUUGUGUCCGUCGUGAAAGCCCCGGGCUUAAUCUGGGAACUGCGAUGGAAACUAGCGAGCUGGAGUGUGGCAGAGGGGGGUGGAAUUCCGCGUGUAGCAGUGAAAUGCGUAGAGAUGCGGAGGAACACCGAUGGCGAAGGCAGCCCCCUGGGCUAACACUGACGCUGAGGAGCGAAAGUGUGGGGAGCGAACAGG